CUCAGGAUGAACGCUAGCUACAGGCUUAACACAUGCAAGUCGAGGGGAAACGAUAUUGGAAGCUUGCUUCCGAUAGGCGUCGACCGGCGCACGGGUGAGUAACGCGUAUCCAACCUGCCCAUCACUUGGGAAUAACCUUGCGAAAGUAAGACUAAUGCCCAAUGACAUUUAUAGAAGGCAUCUGAAAUGAAUUAAAGAUUUACCGGUGAUGGAUGGGGAUGCGUCUGAUUAGCUUGUUGGCGGGGUAACGGCCCACCAAGGCGACGAUCAGUAGGGGUUCUGAGAGGAAGGUCCCCCACAUUGGAACUGAGACACGGUCCAAACUCCUACGGGAGGCAGCAGUGAGGAAUAUUGGUCAAUGGGCGAGAGCCUGAACCAGCCAAGUAGCGUGCAGGAAGACGGCCCUAUGGGUUGUAAACUGCUUUUAUAGGGGAAUAAAGUGAGCCACGUGUGGUUUUUUGCAUGUACCCUAUGAAUAAGGACCGGCUAAUUCCGUGCCAGCAGCCGCGGUAAUACGGAAGGUCCGGGCGUUAUCCGGAUUUAUUGGGUUUAAAGGGAGCGUAGGCCGGAGAUUAAGCGUGUUGUGAAAUGUAGACGCUCAACGUCUGCACUGCAGCGCGAACUGGUUUCCUUGAGUACGCAUAAAGUGGGCGGAAUUCGUGGUGUAGCGGUGAAGUGCUUAGAUAUCACGAAGAACUCCGAUUGCGAAGGCAGCUCACUGGGGCGCAACUGACGCUGAAGCUCGAAAGCGCGGGUAUCGAACAGGAUUAGAUACCCUGGUAGUCCGCGCGGUAAACGAUGGAUGCCCGCUGUUGGGCCAACUGGUUCAGCGGCCAAGCGAAA
rnacentral:rRNA from 1 species